rnacentral:rRNA from 1 species
UGCCAGCAGCCGCGGUAAGACAGAGGGUGCAAACGUUGCUCGGAAUUACUGGGCGUAAAGCGCGUGUAGGCGGAUCGGAGAGUCGGGUGUGAAAUCCCUGGGCUCAACCUAGGAACUGCAUCCGAAACUUCCGAUCUAGAGUGUCGGAGAGGAAAGCGGAAUUCCUGGUGUAGAGGUGAAAUUCGUAGAUAUCAGCGAGGAACACCGGUGGCGAAGGCGGCCUUCUGGACAGUGACUGACGCUGAGACGCGAAAGCGUGGGGAGCAAACAGGAUUAGAUA